rnacentral:lncRNA from 1 species
GUACUCACAUAACGAGCUGUAGAGGUGUAGCUGCAUUACAGAUCUGCAUUUUAGCAUAUUAUGUGGAUAUUCGUCAGCCUGGUCUUUGCAUAUGUGCUAGCCCACCUAGAUACAGGAGUGGACACAGGGGUAUCAGCUCCACACACCUUGUUCUCCCCCCAGUUUCACCAGGUUAAGCAAGUGGGAAUGCUGCUGGCUGGCCAGGAAAUCAGGACCAGCGACGAGGAGAUAAAAAACAACGUAUGGGAGAAGGGUUAUGUCUAUCCCUCAGAGGAAAUGAAGAAUUAGGAGGCAAAAAGUGGCAGCUCACUGCUUUGACUGUAAAAGUCUUGUUUCUAUGCAAGAACUGGAAGAGGAAGUUGCAGCUUGGCGUUUUUUCAAACAUGCAUUGGAAGAAUUAUUCUCCUCUGAAACUGUGGAACGAACACAGGAAAGACCACCUCUUGAAUUGCAAAGGUGCUGUUCUAGCUGAUCUCAUGAGACUUUUCCACAUAAGUAACCUGCACAGAAAACACCUCUACAAAGAAAUUUUCAAGUGUAAAUCUAGUCCCCAACAGUAUUACAAUUCCAUCAUUAAAAGUUCACGUCUUUUUCAAACUAUAACCGUCUAUUGUUUGAAUUUUUGUUUCCAACCUGUUAAACCCUACUGUAACUGCUCAGAUCAUGUCAGAUAG